UUAUUUGCCUGUGAUUACACAGAGUGCAAUUUCUAGGUACAAUUAUUUUCGUUUUUGAAUUUGUACAAUGUUGGGGAUGAGUGUAAGGGUUGGACAGGUGUGGUAAAUAUACAUGAUUUGGUAUUUUCUUAAUUAUAAACAUUGCGUGGGUGGUAACAUUAACAUAUGGUUUUUGGUUUGUUUACAUUUUUUAGAAUUUCAGGCAAUUUGCAUAAGUCAAUUUAUUUGAGUUUAAUUUUACUUUUAUUUAUAUUUUCAGGUACCCCCGCCAGAAGGACGGAAGCACCGAGCCUCAGGAGUCUUUGCCGGUGGGGAAUGGGAGCUGCCUGUCCCAGUUAUUUGCAGCACGCAGGCUGCGCGCAACUUUUGAAUUUGAGUUGGGCCAGCGUUUAGCAGUUUCACCAGUCGUCAGAGUUUUAUUUUCGUGUGGAGAUCCCGCGCCGCCGUCAAUUUAGAUUUUAGUUUGCAGGAGGCUGCCAACCCGCCCAUGGGUCUCAUCGCCAGCCUUCAAAUGGUUCAAAUCGCAGUGGAUUCCCGCGCCGCCGUCUUAAUUCAAGGUCCAGGGAGUUGCUGCAUUUCAGCUGGAGUUCUUCAAAUCGCAGUGGAUUCCCGCGUCGCCGUCUAAUUCCAGGGUCCAGGGAGUUGCUGCGCUUCAGCUGGAGUUCAUCAAAGUAUCAGCGAGAGCGUCGUCAUUGCUUUGGAGUCACCAGGGUCGUCUCUUCUGUGGGUCGUCUCGCCAGGGAAAGGAGGCAUCUUGUGGACGCCGGGCCAAGAUGCUUUGCUUUGGGCCGACGCUCGUAAAUGUCAAUGGAAUUGGAUGCAGAGAAUUGGAUUAGAUAAGUCCAGUUUGUCCAGGAUUUUAAAUUUGUCCGGUGGGAUUUGGAAAGGAAAGCGGUGCCAUGGAUUUAUAAGAAGCAUCGUUGGGGAGGUUCGUAUAUGUCAGGAUGUUUUCAGUGUACUGUUGCUGCCGGGAAAAAAGUCGAAUUCAGGGGUCAUGCUUUUGGCCUUUUGCCAGGCCAGCAGCGCCGCGCUUAGGAUUCAGAAGGACGAGGGGGCAUCCUAGCAUGGAAAUGGCAUCAAAAAAUUAUGCGUUUUUAGUGUUUUAGUUGCCAAAAACUUCGUUUUCUGUUGCGUCUAGUAGGGAUAUUGUAGUUGCUACCGGGAAAAAAGUUGAAUUUAGGGGUCACGAUUUUGGCCUUUUGCCGGGUCGGCAGCGCCGCACCAAGGGUCAAUAAAAACGAGGGUGCUUCUUGACAUGGGGACGGCAUCGAAACUUUGUGCAUUUUUAUAUAUAUUAUUAUAUAUUACACUGCUAUAUGUUUUGAUUAAAUUAUUACAAUCUUUAACGGA